UUUGAGAUGCAAUGUUAAGUCAUUUAUUCAUUGACUUUUUCUUCUUUUAAGGAAUGAACUCUAUGCAGUGAACUUUCCUCUUAUGUUGAGAGCCGUAGGGGUUCCAAACGCUGCACAGAAGGCAGGGCGCCAUCGGAGGGCGAAAGCAGGAGGGUUAGAAGGGCGUCCCCCUCGCCAUGCUCCUGGGCCACCCUGAACUUUCCCCAGACAACGCGGACUGACUUUGAUCUGGACCACCAGGCACAGGGCGCAGCUGACCAGCCAGCCGCCGCCUCCUGCAGAGCCCGCAGCAGAAGGGGUCCAUACUGGCAUGCGCACCCUGUCCCAUGGCGC
rnacentral:lncRNA from 1 species